UAACUGAAUUGCAGACAUAAAUGUGUUGCCUUUAGUUUCAUAUGUUUAUCUCAUAAACUGGAAAAAUUAGAAGAGAGAUUCUUCUACGUGUAAUGAACUUGAGGAAAUGCACCAGCCAGUAGACAGACCAGGUAAUGGAGGAUUGAUGUCUGGUAGGCAGCUGGUUAUGAGUAUUAUGAUAUUACUACUGCUGUGUUAUAUAUGAGAUGGAAUUAGCUGGCUCGUGGCUGUUAUAUAUAAGGAGGAUAAGCAUUUGCUUGGCCUAAUAAACUGUACAUGUGGGGCCCACCUUUUUUCAGAUUUGGAGCAGUUUGGAACACAGCAAAGGUAGAACCAGGAUCUAUUGUUGCUGUUUUCGGCCUUGGGACUGUUGGCCUUGCAGUAAGUUGCCUAAAGAUUUCUUUUGUAUUUUGUCCCUGACCUGAGAAGUAACACUGCCUGAUUUUUGCACAAGAACAUCCAAUCAAUCUGGUUCAUCUAAUGAAAUUAUGAAAAGCUGGGAUCUCAUACACAUCUUCCAUAUUGGCAUGUGUGGCUACAUGUGGAUGGGCACAGCUCCACACACGUGCAGGCUUAGUAAUCAUCUGUUUCAGGUUAACUUAAUAUGUAAGGAACUCUUCAAGGAGCCAGUACGUCUGGAUUUGUUUGCAGCCAAUCCAUGCUUUGAAACCCAUAUCAACUGAGAAUAGACAUUGACAGGCAGGUUAAAAGCUUCGUUCUGUAAGGCUUUUCACACAUCUUCCAUCUAUGGCAGAGCUUAUGAAAGUAAAGUUUGUAUCUCACAACUGUUGGCCCCACUUGUAAGUUGUAAUGUGUAUCCCGACACUAAAAC